AUACGGAGGAUGCGAGCGUUAUCCGGAUUCAUUGGGUUUAAAGGGUGCGCAGGCGGACGGUUAAGUCAGCGGUGAAAAGUAUGCGCUCAACGCAUAUCGUGCCGUUGAAACUGGCCGACUAGGAUGCGGAUGCUGUGGGAGGAAUGUGUAGUGUAGCGGUGAAAUGCAUAGAUAUUACACAGAACACCGAUUGCGAAGGCAGCACACAAAACCGCGAUUGACGCUGAGGCACGAAAGUGCGGGGAGCAAACAGGAUUAGAUACCCUGGUAGUCCGCACAGUAAACGAUGAUAACUCGCUGUGGGCUCGCAAGGAGUCAGGGGCCAAGCGAAAGCGAUAAGCCAUCCACCUGGGGAGUACGACCUCAAGGUUGAAACUCAAAUGAAUUGGCGUGG
rnacentral:rRNA from 1 species